GGCUUCAUGGCCGAGUGGUAAGAAUAUUUGCCUCUCACGUUAGAGUCCCGGGUUCGAUCCCUGGUCGAGGAGCUA